CACACUGUAGACACACACACUGUAGACACACACACUGUAGACACACACACUAACACACACUGUAGACACACACACUAACACACACUGUAGACACACACACUGUAGACACACACACUAACACACACACUACACACACUGUAGACACACACUGUAGACACACACACUAACACACACUGUAGACACACACACUAACA